UACCUGCAGCUCAAGUGGUGGCCGCUAUUAUUGGGCCUAAAACGUCCGUAGCCGGUUUGGUAAAUGCCUGGGUAAAUCGUGUAGCUUAACUAUACGAAUUCUGGGUAGACUGUCAAACUUGAGACCGGGAGAGGCUAGAGGUACUCUUGGGGUAGAGGUGAAAUUCUGUAAUCCUAGGGGGACCACCAGUGGCGAAGGCGUCUAGCUAGAACGGGUCUGACGGUGAGGGACGAAGCCCUGGGGCACAAACCGGAUUAGAUACCCGGGUAGUCCAGGGUGUAAACGCUGCUUGCUUGAUGUUAGUUGGGCUCUGAGCCCGACUAGUGUCGGAGAGAAGUUGUUAAGCAAGCUGCCUGGGAAGUACGGUCGCAAGGCUGAAACUUAAAGGAAUUGGCGGGGGAGCACAGCAACGGGUGGAGCGUGCGGUUU
rnacentral:rRNA from 1 species